UUAACAAAGACGUUUUAUUAUGGUCGGAAGAGACGAUCAGUCGGUUACAAGAGAGAUAAGAAAGUGCGACAGAGAAGAGGCCGGUAACUCGGAGAGCUACCGGAAAAGUACAAACAACGGCAAGAUGAAGCAAAGGUGAAAACCCUAAUCUAGCCGCCAAGUGUUAGUCAAAUGAUUUCGGAUCCCUUUCUCGUUCCUCUUCCUUCUCCUUAUAUAGUCCUCUGAUGUGUCGUUCUUGACCUAACUUAGGUCGUCUUCGUGGGCCUUCCUUAUUGGGCCGAGAGGCCCGCAUUCAUCCG
rnacentral:lncRNA from 1 species